rnacentral:rRNA from 1 species
CCUACGGGGGGCAGCAGUAGGGAAUCUUUCACAAUGGGCGAAAGCCUGAUGGAGCAACGCCGCGUGCAGGAUGAAGGCCUUCGGGUUGUAAACUGCUUUUAUAAGCGAGAAAUAUGAUGGUAACUUAUGAAUAAGGAUCGGCUAACUACGUGCCAGCAGCCGCGGUCAUACGUAGGAUCCGAGCAUUAUCCGGAGUGACUGGGUGUAAAGAGUUGCGUAGGUGGCAUAAUAAGUAGCUAGUGAAAUCUGGUGGCUCAACCAUUCAGACUAUUAGCUAAACUGUUAAGCUCGAGACCGUUAGGGGUAACUGGAAUUUCUAGUGUAGGAGUGAAAUCCGUAGAUAUUAGAAGGAACACCAAUAGCGUAGGCAGGUUGCUGGGACGGUUCUGACACUAAGGCACGAGAGCGUAGGGAGCAAACGGGAUUAGAUACCCCAGUAGUC